UGGUGUUGGAUCGUCUCUGCUCCUGCAUUGUGUUCUUCCUGCUCCAAAAUGCUGUGACCUGACAUUCUCACUUCCUUUUCCUGGCAGAUACUUGCCACUGGAACCCAGCCACCAUGCUGUCAGGAAGCCCAGGCUCCAUGGAACGAUUAUGUCUAGGAGUUCUGCUGGGUAACUGCUCCAGCUGAGGUUUCAUCAGAGAGUCAGCAUCAACUACUAGAUGUGGACCCAGUGAGCUUUCCACUUCUGGGCCUUGCCCUGCACUUGAACCGGAACAGCUUGGACAGAGAACAUGCUGAGGCUCUUAUCGGAGGAGGCAUCACAUCUGUAAACAGGCUGUUUGAAGCAAUUUGAGCCGUAACCUCAAGGUAGGAAGCAAGAUGCCUUUUGUUUAUUUUCCGAGUGGAAUUUUGUGGCCCAAUCUGCAGAUAGUUUGCUUCCCCAUCUGGAAUAUCAUUGGAGCUUUGAGGGACCAGUAGUAGAGUUGGCCUCCAGAUGGCUCUAGGGAGUCUACCAGGAUUCAGACUAAGCUCAGCCACUGCAGACUUCUUGCAGUUCAAAGGGAAGCAGCAAGAAGGCACAGGGAAGAAUUAUAGUACUUGUUCUUUCUUUGAGUAGUAGGAAGAAAAUAGGUGCAUAUCAAGCUUUCAUUAUAAUUAAAAAGUCUGCCUAAGCCAUGAUCAGCAAGUCUGACAUCCAUUGCAUCAAUGAAAAAUAAAUGAUAUAAAAACAAAAACAAUUACCAUGAAAAAGAACCAAAACGUCUUCAGAGAAAGCCCCUUUGCUCUCUGCUUAUAAUGCAUGGGCUUUCCUGUCUUUCAAUCAGGAGCCUUCAAUAACAGUGGCCUCAAAAUCUGGGACUCUUUUCUUUGUGUUAACCUUGAUACGCCAGAAGGAAAACACCAACAUCGUGCUUAUUCCUGGGAAUUUUAGGUUUUCAAUCACCUGUUCAUCUAGUGUUAAUGCUGGUACAGAAAAGAAAAAAAGCAAUUAAUUUAGACUCUAAAUAGAAAAUCUGACUGUCUUUCAUUUCUCCCCUCUUCAACUUCCUAAUCAAUAUCUAUUUCAAGAAAGUCCAAUCUGCCCCAGAAUAACCAUAUUUUUUGUC